rnacentral:lncRNA from 1 species
UUUAGGGUUUAAAGUAUGGUUUAUGUUUAUAAUUAUAUUGGAUUCAGGUUAUAGACUAUUCGUAAGCUUAGGUUUUAAUAAUUUUAACUGUUUCAAGUCGUAUGUAAUUGUUAUAUAUAAUUUUGAAAAGUAGCGAUACUUUUACAAAUAGUUACAAUUUCGAAUGUCCAUUAAUUAGGAAAAUUAAGUUUUGGACUUUAUAGUUUAAAAAACAAUCUCGGAAAUGUUUUUUGCAACCAAAAAGAAGGUUAUUUGAGGGAAAUAUUUGUUGUAAUUUUC